ACGGAAGGCAGCAGUGGGGAAUAUUGCACAAUGGGGGAAACCCUGAUGCAGCGACGCCGCGUGAUUGAAGAAGUAUUUCGGUAUGUAAAGAUCUAUCAGCAAGGAAGAAAAUGACGGUACUUGACUAAGAAGCCCCGGCUAACUACGUGCCAGCAGCCGCGGUAAUACGUAGGGGGCAAGCGUUAUCCGGAUUUACUGGGUGUAAAGGGAGCGUAGGCGGUUUGGCAAGCCAGAAGUGAAAACCCGGGGCUCAACCUCGGGAUUGCUUUUGGAACUGUCGAACUAGAGUGUUGGAGAGGUAAGUGGAAUUCCUAGUGUAGCGGUGAAAUGCGUAGAUAUUAGGAGGAACACCAGUGGCGAAGGCGGCUUACUGGACGAUAACUGACGCUGAGGCUCGAAAGCGUGGGGAGCAAACAGGAUUAGAUACCCUGGUA
rnacentral:rRNA from 2 species